rnacentral:rRNA from 1 species
CACGUAGGCGGACCGGAAAGUUGGGGUGAAAUCCCGGGGCUCAACCCCGGAACUGCCUUCAAAACUAUCGGUCUGGAGUUCGAGAGAGGUGAGUGGAAUUCCGAGUGUAGAGGUGAAAUUCGUAGAUAUUCGGAGGAACACCAGUGGCGAAGGCGGCUCACUGGCUCGAUACUGACGCUGAGGUGCGAAAGCGUGGGGAGCAAACAAG